UGGCCUGGAAGUCAGUGGUGGGAACAACAGGGAUCGGCCCUCCCUGUUUUCCAAACUUCCUCUCCAAACUCUCCUGAACGGACACUGAGAGACAGCGAGGGAUAGAGAGGGAAAUAGUUAGAUGGCAAUGUAGCAAUGUAACCUGAUCAUUGGCAACCAUCGUAUUUUCAAGUAUAUCCAAUCGAUCAACAUUCAUCCCUGAAGUUUCAUCUGGGUUCACUCACACAUUUCAGAUUAGUAUCGUUUUCAUUCAGUCAAAACCUGAACAUCAGAAAGGCUCUGGCACGUCACCUUAAUGUAACCUACGUUAUAUACGGGAGUGGCCAGUGGAAAUAUCACCAGUUACACUUCUUUCACGGUCUUCUUUUCAGUUGUCCUUACAACUCUGAAAACACGGAGAACAUUUCCAAGAGGGGACACAGUACUGUAUCUCCUGCUACACAGAGGUUGUUAAAGGAAGAGGAAAAGUCUUCAGAACUGAACGAACACAGAUCCUCUACAGACAGAGAGACAAGAUCAGAAAGCGGACACACAGCUCCAGAGUGGUAGUAAACAAACAGGUAAAACAACAGAACAUAUUGCCACCCCUCGUCCCCUACCCUGAGGGGAUGACAGAUGAAAAGGAAAAUAAAAUAUAUUAAAAAAACAUUUUGCAGGGAAAGCCAGAGACUUUAUAUCGUGAUGAAAUAAAAAAUGCUCCAUGCGACCUCAUUUUCUACACAACAAAUGGUUCUACAUGGGAAGAGGAAAUACUGAAACACUAUCCUGAGGGAAAACAGUGGAGAAAAAUUCAAGAUGGCAAACAACUGAAAACGAAGGCAGGCACUAUAAAUGUGUAUUAUACUACUGGGAUAAUCAUGGUGCAGGAUAAUAGUGAGACGUUAAAGAUAUUCCCAAAUGAUUUCCCAGCCUUGAGAGAGAGAGUGAGACAGAGCGUCGAGACGACAGAGGAUGUCGAGAAGAAAAUGGCAGAGCUAGGCAUUGAGGAAAGAGGAGAGCAGAGGAAAA